rnacentral:rRNA from 1 species
UACGAAGGGGGCUAGCGUUGCUCGGAAUCACUGGGCGUAAAGGGUGCGUAGGCGGGUCUUUUAAGUCAGGGGUGAAAUCCUGGAGCUCAACUCCAGAACUACUUCUGAUACUGAGGAUCUUGAGUUGGAGGAGGUAGUGAGGUGAACUGCGAGUGUAGAGGUGAAAUUCGUAGAUAUUCGCAAGAACACCAGUGGCGAAGGCGGCUCACUGGCCCGUACUGACGCUGAG